GAUGAACGCUGGCGGCGUGCCUAAUACAUGCAAGUCGAGCGAACAGAUGAGGAGCUUGCUCCUCUGACGUUAGCGGCGGACGGGUGAGUAACACGUGGAUAACCUACCUAUAAGACUGGGAUAACUUCGGGAAACCGGAGCUAAUACCGGAUAAUAUAUUGAACCGCAUGGUUCAAUAGUGAAAGACGGUUUUGCUGUCACUUAUAGAUGGAUCCGCGCCGCAUUAGCUAGUUGGUAAGGUAACGGCUUACCAAGGCAACGAUGCGUAGCCGACCUGAGAGGGUGAUCGGCCACACUGGAACUGAGACACGGUCCAGACUCCUACGGGAGGCAGCAGUAGGGAAUCUUCCGCAAUGGGCGAAAGCCUGACGGAGCAACGCCGCGUGAGUGAUGAAGGUCUUCGGAUCGUAAAACUCUGUUAUUAGGGAAGAACAAAUGUGUAAGUAACUAUGCACGUCUUGACGGGACCUAAUCAGAAAGCCACGGCGAACUACGU
rnacentral:rRNA from 1 species